GGGUGUGAUCAUACUAGCGUUAAUGCACCGGAUCCCAUCAGAACUUUGAGGUUAAGCGCACUUGGGCUAGAGUAGUACUAGAAUGGGUGACCUCCCAGGAAGUCCUAGUAAUGCACCCU
rnacentral:rRNA from 1 species